GUUGUUUAUUAAAUCUUUAUUAUUGUAGCUACAAUAUAGUGUUUCAAAAUGGUUAAGAAAACUCCAGAUCCUGAAAUUAAAACAUACAUAGAAAAAAAAAUUUUAGUCAAGCUAAAUGGAAAUAGAAAGAUAUCUGGUAUUUUAAGAGGCUAUGAUCCUUUUAUGAAUUUAUCUUUAGAGGCCUGUAACGAAGAAAUAUCUUCCACCGAGCAGAAUUUUCUUGGAACCAUUGUCAUACGCGGUAAUAGUAUUGACUCUAUCGAAUGCUUAGAGCGGAUAUAAGCCUUACAUUAUUUUAAACCUAAAUUGUUGGUCUUAAGGUC